rnacentral:rRNA from 1 species
UACGGGGGGGGCAAGCGUUGUUCGGAAUUACUGGGCGUAAAGGGCUCGUAGGCGGCCAACUAAGUCAGACGUGAAAUCCCUCGGCUUAACCGGGGAACUGCCUCUGAUACUGGAUGGCUUGAGAUUGGGAGAGGGAUGCGGAAUUCCAGGUGUAGCGGUGAAAUGCGUAGAUAUCUGGAGGAACACCGGUGGCGAAGGCGGCAUCCUGGACCAACACUGACGCUGAGGAGCGAAAGCCAGGGGAGUAAACAGG